rnacentral:tRNA from 1 species
UCCCUGAUAGUAUAUCGGCUAGUACACCCGCCUGUCACUUCUGACCGGUCAAGUGCGCGGGAGAGCGGGGUUCGACUCCCCGUCAAGGAG